AUGUUAGGAUCGGCUGGCUCAUCCUCAUCAUCCGAAAACAAAACAGAGACAAAACAGAUUUGUUUCAAUGAAGUAUCUAAUCAUACUGAAAUUGAUGUCGAAGACACGAUCAUUCACAUCAAUUGAAGCAGGCAGGAAGGGCACGGAAGCUACAGUUUAACGAAUGCAAUGCAAGCAAGGUAG
rnacentral:rRNA from 1 species